GAUGAACGCUGGCGGCGUGCCUAAUACAUGCAAGUCGAGCGAACAGAUGAGGAGCUUGCUCCUCUGACGUUAGCGGCGGGCGGGUGAGUAACACGUGGAUAACCUACCUAUAAGACUGGGAUAACUUCGGGAAACAGGAGCUAAUAACGGAUCAUAUAUUCAACCGCAUGGAUCAAUAGUGAAAGACGGUUUUGCUGUCACUUAUAGAUGGAUCCGCGCCGCAUUAGUUAGUGGGUAAGGUAACGGCUUACCAAGGCAACGAUGCGUAGCCGACCUGAGAGAGUGACAGGCCACACGGGAACUGAGACACGGCCCAGCUCCCUAGGGGAGGCAGAAGGAGGGAAUCUGGCGAAUGGGGCGAAAGCUUGACGGAGCAACGCGGGUGGGGGAAUGAAGGUCUCCGGUUCGUAAAACCUUGUGAUUAGGGAAGAACGAAUGUGGAUGUAACUAUGCUCGUCUGGAGGGAACCAAAGCAGAAAGCCACGCCAAAUUACUG
rnacentral:rRNA from 1 species